rnacentral:rRNA from 2 species
UGGGGUGACUGCGUACCUUUUGUAUAAUGGGUCAGCGACUUAUAUUCUGUAGCAAGGUUAACCGUAUAGGGGAGCCGUAGGGAAACCGAGUCUUAACUGGGCGAAUGAGUUGCAGGGUAUAGACCCGAAACCCGGUGAUCUAUCCAUGGGCAGGUUGAAGGUUGGGUAACACUAACUGGAGGACCGAACCGACUAAUGUUGAAAAAUUAGCGGAUGACUUGUGGAUGGGGGUGAAAGGCCAAUCAAACCGGGAGAUAGCUGGUUCUCCCCGAAAGCUAUUUAGGUAGCGCCUCGUGAACUCAUCUUCGGGGGUAGAGCACUGUUUCGACUAGGGGGUCAUCCCGACUUACCAACUCGAUGCAAACUGCGAAUACCGAAGAAUGUUAUCACGGGAGACACACGGCGGGUGCUAACGUCCGUCGUGAAGAGGGAAACAACCCAGACCGCCAGCUAAGGUCCCAAAGUCAUGGUUAAGUGGGAAACGAAGUGGGAAGGCUCAGACAGCCAGGAUGUUGGCUUAGAAGCAGCCAUCAUUUAAAGAAAGCGUAAUAGCUCACUGGUCGAGUCGGCCCGCGCGGAAGAUGUAACGGGGCUAAACCAUGCACCGAAGCUGCGGCAGC